UACGUAGGGCGCGAGCGUUGUCCGGAAUCAUUGGGCGUAAAGAGCUCAUAGGCGGCUUGUCGCGUCGGAUGUGAAAGCCCGGGGCUUAACUCCGGGUCUGCAUUCGAUACGGGCAGGCUAGAGUUCGGUAGGGGAGAUCGGAAUUCCUGGUGUAGCGGUGAAAUGCGCAGAUAUCAGGAGGAACACCGGUGGCGAAGGCGGAUCUCUGGGCCGAUACUGACGCUGAGGAGCGAAAGCGUGGGGAGCGAACAGG
rnacentral:rRNA from 1 species